GCUCGCAGGUUGAACUCACUUAUAAAAUGGGAGGGAAAUCAUUUUCACAAAACAAAAAAGUUACAACAACAUUCAGGAAGUUAUUCGAUAAUACGAAAACUAUGUGAAUCGAACGACGUCAGUGUGGGGACAUUCAUCCUCCGCCCACUCAAAUUCCUGCGUAGGAGGUUAGGAAGUUUUAAGAGAUCGUGAUUGUACAAGCAAAAUUAUUGAGCACGCUAUAUUUUUGGUUAAAAACAUUGGCGAGUUAUUUACGAAGCAAAAAAGUAAAAAACACGAUGUUUAUUAUUUACCAUUAGUGGUAUUUUCCUGGUCAAUAUUAAACAUCAUGGUUUUUACUAAUUUACCAUAUGGGGAAUCUAUAACCAUUGAUGGUGAUGUUCAGUUUUACAUUGAUAGUGUAGUACAUGGUACUAAAUCUUUAAAAACCAUUCAUGUAUGUUCCAUUUUUUUCCUGUGAAAAAAGACUUGGACGUUUCCCGAGUCAGGUUGUUGAUUCCCCUGCAGUGCUCGCACGUUGAACUCACUUAUAAAAUGGGAGGGAAAUCAUUUUCACAAAACAAAAAAGUUACAACAACAUUCAGGAAGUUAUUCGAUAAUACGAAAACUAUGUGAAUCGAACGACGUCAGUGUGGGGACAUUCAUCCUCCGCCCACUCAAAUUCCUGCGUAGGAGGUUAGGAAGUUUUAAGAGAUCGUGAUUGUACAAGCAAAAUUAUUGAGCACGCUAUAUUUUUGGUUAAAAACAUUGGCGAGUUAUUUACGAAGCAAAAAAGUAAAAAACACGAUGUUUAUUAUUUACCAUUAGUGGUAUUUUCCUGGUCAAUAUUAAACAUCAUGGUUUUUACUAAUUUACCAUAUGGGGAAUCUAUAACCAUUGAUGAUGAUGUUCAGUUUUACAUUGAUAGUGUAGUACAUGGUAAAUCUUUAAAAACCAUUCAUGUAUGUUCCAUUUUUUUCCUGUGAAAAAAGAACUUGGACGUUUCCCGAGUCAGGUUGUUGAUUCCCCUGCAGUGCUCGCACGUUGAACUCACUUAUAAAAUGGGAGGGAAAUCAUUUUCACAAAACAAAAAAGUUACAACAACAUUCAGGAAGUUAUUCGAUAAUACGAAAACUAUGUGAAUCGAACGACGUCAGUGUGGGGACAUUCAUCCUCCGCCCACUCAAAUUCCUGCGUAGGAGGUUAGGAAGUUUUAAGAGAUCGUGAUUGUACAAGCAAAAUUAUUGAGCACGCUAUAUUUUUGGUUAAAAACAUUGGCGAGUUAUUUACGAAGCAAAAAAACACGCUCACAAUGUCGCAUGCAGUUUUGCUAAUUUCUUAACCAAUUUUUAAUCCAAAUUGAACCAAAAUUUAAUCAGUUUGCCCUUGGGCAAUACCCAUUAGUCCCUGAAAUUAUUUUCCUUUUAGUACGUCGACAGACCGGAGGCGUGUGUAUAGUAUGGCCUGUAGGGGACAGGGUUAGGGUUUUGAAAAAAGAAUUCUAGUUGAGUACUGUAUUUUCCGAUCAUCGUAACCCAGAGUGUGUCACAGUUGUAAGGUGUUGUGACACAACCUAGGCUAAUAUUUUAUAAAUUAAACUUGUUUUUCAUAAAAAGUUCCCAAUUUCUAAUUUUGGUACUGUUAAUUAUAAUUAGCUCGAUUACUGCCCACUUAGGGUAAAGCCUGGUUCGUAUAUGCCCACGCCGGGCAUGCCUGCGCUAACAUUGUUUACACCUGUUGAUGCGUACAAUCUUUUGUGAAUUAUCUGGUUGAACUAAGGCUUAACAGAAACUACGUUUUAUUUAAAUAAACAUAUUUUGGAUAAUGAUAGUAUUUAUCAAAAAAUGUAUGCAGCACCUGACGUCGGGGAAAAUUAUAAAAGCGCGCCAAAACAGUGUCCGUAGUUAGUUUUCAGUGUAUGGUUAUACGCAGUGUACAUCAAACAACUCGAGGCAUAUUUUAUUCAAAGAGUAUAUUGUUCCCCAGGUACGUAUUAAUAUUGCUUAUGUCUCUAUUGUUUCAUACGCUAUUACUGUAGACCUAGCCAUACUUUACGUUUUGGUUGGUAGUGAGGGUCAGAUAACGCUACUAGCUUCCUAUGCGCUAUAUGUAAUAUAUAGUAGAAACUACAAGCGACACAUACUUGAAGGCAGAUAUUUUUACUAGACAGGGAAGGUGUAUUUCUGAGGUAUCAGGUCAUUUCGUACUCGACUGCCUAUAGUCGUUUUGUCUCCAACUCUGGUUGACGGAUUGCCAAAAAGCACAAAAAUGAUCAGAUAUAAGUCAUAUAACUGUGGGUGGGUUUUUUUCUGAGUUUUACCGCAAAUCAAAACUAUUUACGGAAAUUGUCACACUAGUGACGCUGGGAUAUGCAGAUAUAUUUGCUAUCUAGGUUUCUCCAUGUAACGAAUGCAUUUUUUCACGUAAAAACCCAAGUGAGACACGACCAUCUUUGGUUACAAACUGUCUUAAGGAUGGAUUGGAAACGAGCAAGCCUGGGACGAGGCAGGAGUACGUAACGACCAUAAACCUAUUUCUAUUUUUGAGAUGAGAUUCAAGCUUGUUGACUAGACAGGACGAGGGGCAUUAUGUCUCGCGUGCUGGAUGAAUAUAACGUUUAUUUAUUUAUUUAUUUUUUCAAGCUGUUGUAAACAAUGAAAUUUCUGCAAUUGGUUCUCGUGUUAAGUCUUCUGUCGCUGGUGCUAGUCAACGGCGACUUCAGUGAAGGAAAACAUCGUAUCCAGAAGAGAGCGGCGAUACGUACACGUUCCAAAUGUCGCAAAGCAGGGUGGGGCUUCACGUAUUUGUCCGGCUGUAGUGCU
rnacentral:lncRNA from 1 species